AUGUGCUAUAUAACCAUUUCCUUUAAGUAUGGCCACUACCCGUGAAUAUGAUGGCAUUUCACUCCCAUGAUUAUGUUGAAUCAUAUGAUAAAAAGUGGAGAGAUUUUGCAGCUGUAACGCAGAUUCCUAACCAGUUGACUCCGAGUUAAUCGAAAGGGAGAUUAUUCUGAAUGGGCUUGGAGAGAUCGGAAGAAGCAC